GACGAACGCUGGCGGCGUGCUUAACACAUGCAAGUCGAACGGAAAGGCCCUGCUUUUGUGGGGUGCUCGAGUGGCGAACGGGUGAGUAACACGUGAGUAACCUGCCCUUGACUUUGGGAUAACUUCAGGAAACUGGGGCUAAUACCGGAUAGGAGCUCCUGCUGCAUGGUGGGGGUUGGAAAGUUUCGGCGGUUGGGGAUGGACUCGCGGCUUAUCCGCUUGUUGGUGGGGUAGUGGCUGACCAAGGCUUUGACGGGUAGCCGGCCUGAGAGGGUGACCGGCCACAUUGGGACUGAGAUAGGGACCAGACGCCUACGGGAGGCAGCAGGGGGGAAUAUUGCGCAAUGGGCGGAAGCGUGAGGCAGCAACGCCCCGUGCGUGAUGACGGGCUUUGGGUUGUAAACCGCUUUGGCCUGAGACGAAGCGGGAGUGACGGUAAUGGGUAAAGAAGCACCGGCUAACUACGUG
rnacentral:rRNA from 1 species